CCGGGUGUAGCGCAAUUGGCAGCGCGCCAGCUUUGGGAGCUGGAUGCUGGGAGUUCGAGUCUCCCCACUCGGACCA
rnacentral:tRNA from 1 species